rnacentral:rRNA from 1 species
UACGGAAGGUCCGGGCGUUAUCCGGAUUUAUUGGGUUUAAAGGGAGCGCAGGCCGAAGAUUAAGCGUGACGUGAAAUGUCCCGGCUCAACCGGGGAGUUGCGUCGCGAACUGGUUUUCUUGAGUGAGUUCGAUGUAGGCGGAAUUCGUGGUGUAGCGGUGAAAUGCUUAGAUAUCACGAAGAACCCCGAUUGCGAAGGCAGCCUACAAGGCCUUUACUGACGCUAAAGCUCGAAAGUGCGGGUAUCGAAC